rnacentral:sRNA from 1 species
GAUGUCAUGGCUCCGUCUUAAAGGGGACGCGGGCGGCAGAAAGUGGAGCUGGGCUGGUGUGCGCGCGCGGCCGGAGUCUGUGGAGCUGGAAAUUCACCGGUCCAGGAAGACGUCUUUCCCGCGUCCCAGCACCUCGGGCCACGCUCCUUCGUGAGAGCGCCCUCUCCAAGGAGGCCAGCCCUGGAUAUUUCACCCAAAAUAUUUAUUUUUUCUUUUUUUCUAGGGUCUCACCUUGUUGCCCAAGCUGGAGUGCAGUUGCCUGAUCUCAGCUCACUGCAACCUCCACCUCCCAGGCUCAAGCUAUCCUCCUGCCUCAGCCUUCCAAGUAGCUGGGACCACAGGUGUGCACCAUCACGCCCAGAUGAAAUUGUGCUCCAAGUGUUUUCCAAGGUUCCGUAUGACCCAUCAUUUGAUGAAACAAGAACAGCAGUCAGAUCCAUUACAAAGAGAGACACACAAAAAAACUAUGUGAAAAUGAGCUUAGCCCCUGGUGUUGUGUUGGAACUUCAGAUGCUUGCAGACACUUCAUGAAUGCUCUGUGACACUCAGAAUAG